UUGUCUACAACCAAACAAGCUCUUUCUCCCCGGGGGCCCUGUGACCAAUGGUUGCAGACAGCAGCCUCUGUGGUGGCGUCUGCAGCCUGUUGACUACCUGGGUUGCUGUAAGGGACCAUGGAGACGGCC